rnacentral:rRNA from 1 species
CCCUUAGAUGUUCGGGGCCGCACGCGCGCUACACUGAUGGGGACAGCGUGUUUGCCAUUCCUGGUCCGGCAGGAUUGGGCAAUCCGUUGAACCCCCGUCGUGAUUGGGAUCGGAGCUUGUAACUAUUCUCCGUAAACGAGGAAUUCCCAGUAAGCGCGAGUCAUCAUCUCGCGUUGAUUACGUCCCUGCCCUUUGUACACACCGCCCGUCGCUCCUACCGAUUGAACGUGCUGGUGAAGCGUUAGGACUGGCUCUCGGGGCAGGUCUCCUGCCCCUUGAAUCGGGAAUUUCGUUGAACCCUCCCGUUUAGAGGAAGGAGAAGUCGUAACA